rnacentral:rRNA from 1 species
UACGGAGGGUGCAAGCGUUAUCCGGAUUCACUGGGCUUAAAGGGUGCGUAGGCGGGCCUGUAAGUCCGUGGUGAAAUCUCCGAGCUUAACUCGGAAACUGCCAUGGAUACUAUGUGUCUUGAAUGUUGUGGAGGUGAGCGGAAUAUGUCAUGUAGCGGUGAAAUGCUUAGAUAUGACAUAGAACACCAAUUGCGAAGGCAGCUCACUACACAAAUAUUGACGCUGAGGCACGAAAGCGUGGGGAUCAAACAGG